UAUACAUGCAAGUCGUACGCACUGGCCCAACUGAUUGAUGGUGCUUGCACCUGAUUGACGAUGGAUCACCAGUGAGUGGCGGACGGGUGAGUAACACGUAGGUAACCUGCCCCGGAGCGGGGGAUAACAUUUGGAAACAGAUGCUAAUACCGCAUAACAACAAAAGCCACAUGGCUUUUGUUUGAAAGAUGGCUUUGGCUAUCACUCUGGGAUGGACCUGCGGUGCAUUAGCUAGUUGGUAAGGUAACGGCUUACCAAGGCGAUGAUGCAUAGCCGAGUUGAGAGACUGAUCGGCCACAAUGGAACUGAGACACGGUCCAUACUCCUACGGGAGGCAGCAGUAGGGAAUCUUCCACAAUGGGCGCAAGCCUGAUGGAGCAACACCGCGUGAGUGAAGAAGGGUUUCGGCUCGUAAAGCUCUGUUGUUGGAGAAGAACGUGCGUGAGAGUAACUGUUCACGCAGUGACGGUAUCCAACCAGAAAGUCACGGCUAACUACGUGCCAGCAGCCGCGGUAAUACGUAGGUGGCAAGCGUUAUCCGGAUUUAUUGGGCGUAAAGCGAGCGCAGGCGGUUGCUUAGGUCUGAUGUGAAAGCCUUCGGCUUAACCGAAGAAGUGCAUCGGAAACCGGGCGACUUGAGUGCAGAAGAGGACAGUGGAACUCCAUGUGUAGCGGUGGAAUGCGUAGAUAUAUGGAAGAACACCAGUGGCGAAGGCGGCUGUCUGGUCUGCAACUGACGCUGAGGCUCGAAAGCAUGGGUAGCGAACAGGAUUAGAUACCCUGGUAGUCCAUGCCGUAAACGAUGAGUGCUAGGUGUUGGAGGGUUUCCGCCCUUCAGUGCCGGAGCUAACGCAUUAAGCACUCCGCCUGGGGAGUACGACCGCAAGGUUGAAACUCAAAGGAAUUGACGGGGGCCCGCACAAGCGGUGGAGCAUGUGGUUUAAUUCGAAGCUACGCGAAGAACCUUACCAGGUCUUGACAUCUUGCGCUAACCUUAGAGAUAAGGCGUUCCCUUCGGGGACGCAAUGACAGGUGGUGCAUGGUCGUCGUCAGCUCGUGUCGUGAGAUGUUGGGUUAAGUCCCGCAACGAGCGCAACCCUUGUUACUAGUUGCCAGCAUUAAGUUGGGCACUCUAGUGAGACUGCCGGUGACAAACCGGAGGAAGGUGGGGACGACGUCAGAUCAUCAUGCCCCUUAUGACCUGGGCUACACACGUGCUACAAUGGACGGUACAACGAGUCGCAAGCUCGCGAGAGUAAGCUAAUCUCUUAAAGCCGUUCUCAGUUCGGACUGUAGGCUGCAACUCGCCUACACGAAGUCGGAAUCGCUAGUAAUCGCGGAUCAGCAUGCCGCGGUGAAUACGUUCCCGGGCCUUGUACACACCGCCCGUCACACCAUGGGAGUUUGUAACGCCCAAAGUCGGUGGCCUAACCUUUAUGGAGGGAGCCGCCUAAGG
rnacentral:rRNA from 1 species